AUUGAACGCUGGCGGCAUGCCUUACACAUGCAAGUCGAACGGCAGCACGGGAGCAAUCCUGGUGGCGAGUGGCGAACGGGUGAGUAAUAUAUCGGAACGUGCCCAGUCGUGGGGGAUAACGUAGCGAAAGCUACGCUAAUACCGCAUACGAUCUAUGGAUGAAAGCGGGGGAUCGCAAGACCUCGCGCGAUUGGAGCGGCCGAUAUCAGAUUAGGUAGUUGGUGAGGUAAAGGCUCACCAAGCCGACGAUCUGUAGCUGGUCUGAGAGGACGACCAGCCACACUGGGACUGAGACACGGCCCAGACUCCUACGGGAGGCAGCAGUGGGGGAAUUUUUGGACAAUGGGCGCAAGCCUGAUCCAGCAAUGCCGCGUGCAGGAUGAAGGCCUCGGUUGUAA
rnacentral:rRNA from 1 species